rnacentral:rRNA from 1 species
CCUACGGGAGGCAGCAGUGGGGAAUCUUGGACAAUGGGCGCAAGCCUGAUCCAGCCAUGCCGCGUGAGUGACGAAGGCCCUAGGGUUGUAAAGCUCUUUCGGCGGGGACGAUAAUGACGGUACCCGCAGAAGAAGCCCCGGCUAACUCCGUGCCAGCAGCCGCGGUAAUACGGAGGGGGCUAGCGUUGUUCGGAAUCACUGGGCGUAAAGCGCACGUAGGCGGACCAUUAAGUCAGGGGUGAAAGCCCGAGGCUCAACCUCGGAACUGCCUUUGAUACUGAUGGUCUCGAGUCCGGGAGAGGUGAGUGGAAUUCCUAGUGUAGAGGUGAAAUUCGUAGAUAUUAGGAAGAACACCAGUGGCGAAGGCGGCUCACUGGCCCGGUACUGACGCUGAGGUGCGAAAGCGUGGGGAGCAAACAGGAUUAGAUACCCCGGUAGUCCACGCCGUAAACGAUGGAAGCUAGCCGUCGGUCGGCAUGCCGUUCGGUGGCGCAGCUAACGCAUUAAGCUUCCCGCCUGGGGAGUACGGUCCGCAAGAUUAAAACUCAAAGGAAUGACGGAAUCGUCGACUGCAGUGCCUUU